GAAUUGUUCGCAAUGGGCGCAAGCCUGACGACGCAACGCCGCGUGGAGGAUGAAGGUCUUCGGAUUGUAAACUCCUGUUGCCCGGGACGAAACGUUCCGACCUAAUACGUCGGAACCUGACGGUACCGGGUGAGGAAGCCCCGGCUCACUCUGUGCCAGCAGCCGCGGUAAUACAGAGGGGGCGAGCGUUGUUCGGAAUUACUGGGCGUAAAGGGCGCGUAGGCGGCCUGUUAAGUCGAACGUGAAAUCCCCGGGCUCAACCCGGGAACUGCGUCCGAUACUGGCAGGCUUGAAUCCGGGAGAGGGAUGUGGAAUUCCAGGUGUAGCGGUGAAAUGCGUAGAUAUCUGGAGGAACACCGGUGGCGAAGGCGGCAUCCUGGACCGGCAUUGACGCUGAGGCGCGAAAGCCAGGGGAGCAAACGGG
rnacentral:rRNA from 1 species